CAGUCGAGCGCGAAGUCCCUUCGGGGGCGAGUAGAGCGGCGGACGGGUGAGUAAUACAUAGGUAAUCUACCUUCGAGCUUGGGAUGACCCCGCGAAAGUGGGGCUAAUACCGGAUAAGACCACGUAACCAUGUUGCGGGGUAAAAGGUGGCUUAUUUUUUAAAUGAGCUGUCACUUGAGGAUGAGCCUAUGGCCUAUCAGCUUGUUGGCGGGGUAAGAGCCCACCAAGGCUAUGACGGGUAGCUGGUCUGAGAGGACGACCAGCCACACUGGGACUGAGACACGGCCCAGACUCCUACGGGAGGCAGCAGUGGGGAAUAUUGGGCAAUGGGCGCAAGCCUGACCCAGCGACGCCGCGUGGGCGAUGAAGGCCUUCGGGUUGUAAAGCCCUGUCAUGCGGAAAGAACGACCCUGUGACGCAUACUCACAGGGAGUGACGGUACCGCAGGAGGAAGCACCGGCUAACUCCGUGCCAGCAGCCGCGGUAAUACGGAGGGUGCAAGCGUUGUUCGGAAUUAUUGGGCGUAAAGGGCGCGUAGGCGGUAAUGUAAGUCAGAUGUGAAAUACUCCGGCUCAACCAGAGAAUUGCAUCUGAAACUGCAUAACUAGAGUACAGAAGAGGGAAACGGAAUUCCCGGUGUAGAGGUGAAAUUCGUAGAUAUCGGGAGGAACACCAGUGGCGAAGGCGGUUUCCUGGUCUGAUACUG
rnacentral:rRNA from 1 species